AAUGAGUGUGUGUGUGUGUGGGAUCCCUUCCCCCAACCCCCCUCCCCCGAGCGACACGGCUGGGGCUGGGGCUAGGGAAGUGGAGUGGUCUGCUCCCAGCCCCCCGCUAAUCCCCCGGGCCAUUCUGGGCCUGUGGGGCCCCCAAAAGUGGCCCCACACAGCUCCUGCCUCCCAGACCUUGUGUGUGUGUGGGGGAGGCCUGGGGCCCCACACAGCCUGCGUAGGGCACCCAAAUGGCUAGGGACGGCCCUGACUUGAUGAUUACCUGUUCUGUUCAUUCGCUCUGGGGCACGUGGCACUGGCCACUAUCAGAAGACAGGAUACUGGGCUAGAUUGAUCUUUGGUUUGACCCAGUAUGGCCGUUCUUAUGUUUCUUAUAUUAUUGGAGCUAGAAGCCACCUUGUCCUCUGGCUGUUUUGCAUUCCUCUGCACCCCACCCCACCUCACCUUGACCUGGAGUGGAGCACCCCACAGGGACAUCUCUUGAAGGAGAACUGGGAGAUUUCAGUAACCUCUCAGCAUCUGGUCAGUGAUACAGGACCAUGUGGAUGUUCUUCUCAUCAAUUUCCCCUCCUAUCAGAAACAGCCCAUCAAGGCCCUGAAUGUUGGUGAAAGGAGCUACCGUAUUAAAGCAAAGACACCGCAGGGAUUUGAACCCCGUCCUGGAAACCAGGAGUGCCAACCACCAGCAUCUUUUGCUUUUUUUUGUGCACUAAUAUAGUAAAGGAGAAAAGCAAAACCUGAGACAACAGCCUGUUCUCCCAGGAAAAGAAAAACCUUAAAUAAUCGGAGUCCCUAGCCUGAGAGAUCGAAUCAGCUCAUCUACCAAAACUCUACUACCCGAUACUGGAUGUUGUAGAUGAAUAUGCUGCUCUUGGCUAUGGAUUAAUUUUUCCUUCUAACGGAACUUUUGACCAUGGAGGUAUGGGCCAGGGACACAAUUUUGCUUAAACUUCAGAGGUUUUGUUCCCUCCUACUGAUGGCAGUUUGCCAGGCUACUCGUAGGAUGGAGAAAGAACAUUUGAAGCAGGCCUAUGGUGACUCCAUUUUGGCUUUAGAAUGGGAUUUAGUUAUUGAAGAGUUAUUUCUAACACGUGAAAUAGAUUUUAAGACGUUACAAUUAUUUUGAAAAGAUAGACUUCAUGGCAGACUAACCUGCUUAGAAAUACUGUCUGCAUUUUCAGUAUGUAGAACUCUCCUCUUCAAUGCAAUAUGAGACCAGAUUUAGUUUCUCUAAUGUUACUUUGAAUAUCUGAUAUAAUCCACAAAAGACAACAUAAAAGGUAGAACUUUCUAAUAAAUUCUGAUUAAAUCCACAUUUAAAGUUGCUCAGAAAACCUUUUUUUCAUUAACUCCUGUGUAUAUUAUAUUGAAAGCUGUUAAAAUCUCCCAUCAGUAUUAACAUUUUACUGUAUACACUGACUGCCAAUUCCUUAAGUAAAUGAUUAAAAACACCCAUUAUC